GGGGAGAAUGGAUUUGGUGGUCCCCGCGGGCUGCAAACCCGUCGGCCUGCCUGAGUACCAGGUGGGAGUCCGGUUCGAUUCCGACUUCUCCCC
rnacentral:tRNA from 1 species